rnacentral:rRNA from 1 species
GUUUGUGGCGCAUUCUCCCAGGGCGGGAUGGCUUCGCGAUCAGACGGCCUUCGCUUGGGCCCCCGGUCCCCGGUCACAUGUGACACGGGCCCGGGGGCAGGAGUCGGUGGCUGCAGGAUCCGGUCCCGCCCACAAUCUCGGCGUAAAAGGUGGUCAUGUCUGUCACCCAUCCGGAAACUCGGGCCACGGAGUUCAACGUAUGCGCGACUCUCUGGGGUCAAAACCCUCAGGUGCAAUGAAAGGGAAACCUAUAGUCUAUAGGGUGAUAUCCGAUCCGGCGGCCCUCGCGUGGCCGGCGCAGCAUAGCCCCGUCCCGAUCGCGACGAUGGGGCGGAGGAAGAGCGUAUGGGAUGAGACCCGAAAGAUGGUGAACUAUGCCUGAGCAGGACGAAGCCAAAGGAAACUUUCGUGGAAGUCCGAAGCGGUUCUGACGUGCAAAUCGAUCGUCUGACUUGGG